CUGAAGUCUCUAGAUCAGUCCAUGCUGAGGGAGAAAACCAACAUAGUGUCAGUUGAAAGAAUAUGAUUACUUUGGCUAUGAGAUGGCUUCAAAUCAACUAAUGAUGGAGACAUUCAUCCUCAAUAAAAUAUGAUUGAGCUUACUUUUGCAGUUACUUCCACAUCUCUUCAUGUGGCAGAUAUAAUCGCUUUAACCAAGCUGACCUGCCUGGUGCUACCUCAUUAACACUGCGAUUUGCUUCAAUCAAAAUCUAUUUGGAGUGCAGACAUUUAAGACUUCUACACUUGUGGAAAGUAUAUUGCAUUUAGAGCCAAUAGAAGUAAUCUUCUGCUAUUGUCAUUUUCUUUUCCUUUUGGCUCAAAGCUUUAGAUUUAUGCUUACCUUAUAAAGCAUCUAUAAACUUGAGAUAUUUUUCAUGCUACCGA